GGCUACCACUUCCAAGGAAGGCAGCAGGCGCGCAACUUACCCCUAAUCUCGAUUCGAGGAGGUAGUGACAAGAAAUACCGAUGCGGGACCCUACGGGUGCCGCGUUCGGAAUGAGUACGAUCCGAACCACCUAACGAGGAACGAUCGGAGGGCAAGUCUGGUGCCAGCAGCCGCGGUAAUUCCAGCUCCAAUAGCGUACGUUAAAGUUGCUGCAGUUAAAAAGCUCGUAGUUGAACGUUCGGGGUUCCGCGGGACGGGGCCGCCCCGCGAGGGACGGCGCCGCCCCGGGGCUCGUGAUAUCUUAUCUCGCCGCCCGUCGCGAGGCGGACGGAGGGAUGGAUGAGGUUACCUGGAAAAAAUCGGGGCGAUCUAGGCGGGCGAACCUCGCCAACGAACGAUCGGACAUGGGAU
rnacentral:rRNA from 1 species